AGAGUUUGAUCCUGGCUCAGGACGAACGCUGGCGGCGUGCCUAACACAUGCAAGUCGAGCGGGGAUUAUCGAAUGAAGUUUUCGGAUGGAUUUUGGUAAUUCUAGCGGCGGACGGGUGAGUAACGCGUGAGCAACCUGCCUUUCACAGGGGGAUAACGCAUCGAAAGGUGCACUAAUACCGCAUGAGACCACGCUCCCGACAUGAGAGAGGGGUCAAAGGAGCAAUCCGGUGAGAGAUGGGCUCGCGUCUGAUUAGCUAGUUGGUGAGGUAACGGCCCACCAAGGCGACGAUCAGUAGCCGACCUGAGAGGGUGAUCGGCCACAUUGGAACUGAGAGACGGUCCAAACUCCUACGGGAGGCAGCAGUGGGGAAUAUUGGGCAAUGGGGGAAACCCUGACCCAGCAACGCCGCGUGAAGGAAGAAGGUUUUCGGAUCGUAAACUUCUAUCCUUGGUGAAAAUAGUGAUGGUAGCCAAGAAGGAAGCCCCGGCUAACUACGUGCCAGCAGCCGCGGUAAUACGUAGGGGGCAAGCGUUGUCCGGAAUGAUUGGGCGUAAAGGGCGCGUAGGCGGCCUGGUAAGUUUGAAGUGAAAGUCCUUCUUUUAAGGAGGGAACUGCUUUGAAAACUGUCGGGCUUGAGUGCAGGAGAGGUAAGCGGAAUUCCCGGUGUAGCGGUGAAAUGCGUAGAGAUCGGGAGGAACACCAGUGGCGAAGGCGGCUUACUGGACUGUUACUGACGCUGAGGCGCGAAAGUGUGGGGAGCAAACAGGAUUAGAUACCCUGGUAGUCCACACUGUAAACGAUGAAUGCUAGGUGUAGGGGGUAUCGACCCCUUCUGUGCCGGAGUAAACACAAUAAGCAUUCCGCCUGGGGAGUACGGCCGCAAGGUUGAAACUCAAAGGAAUUGACGGGGGCCCGCACAAGCAGCGGAGCAUGUGGUUUAAUUCGAAGCAACGCGAAGAACCUUACCAGGUCUUGACAUCCAGGUAAAGCCGUAGAGAUACGGUGUGUGCUUGCACAAUCUGAGACAGGUGGUGCAUGGUUGUCGUCAGCUCGUGUCGUGAGAUGUUGGGUUAAG
rnacentral:rRNA from 1 species